UUGGUCUGUCAUAUGUCCAUCUAUUCUAACUAUACUUACAUCCUUCGCUUAGGAAUAGAUCAAGAUUUACAACUACAUAACAUUUUAUUGUGCUGCAACAACAAUAUAUAAAGCUUUUUCUGUGGAAUUUGUAAAACACGUUCAACGUGUAAAUACUUGUGUCUAUCUCUGUAUAUAAAUUUUGGUUUGUAUUUACAUUUCUUAAAUAUUUGCCCCUAUUUUCGUUGUCGUUAUCGUUUUAAACCAAAUAAGAACGCCUAUUUGGCAUUACUGUUGGCUUUAUCAACAUUUAUCGAAAAUAAAUUGAGAUUCCCCAAUUAGAAACGACUAUAGAAUUGACAUAGAAACAGUCGUUCUUUGUCGUUGCUAUAAUUGAGAGCGAUAUAGAAACGACGCGGUUAUUUGAAGUGAAGAUGAAAAUUCCAAAUCGGAAACAGUUUGAAAUUUUAAUUUCUGAAAUAGAAAAAUAUCCUGCAUAUGCCAACGUUUUUAGAAAAGGGAUAAAACCUUUAAAUUUCAAAUUUUUUGGACGGAUAUUUCCAAACAAUUCAAUUAAUUUGCAAGAGGAGUUAAUAAACAGAUACCACAGUCUCCUUUGGAAGAAGCUGUUGCGAAUUUAAUGCAGUUCGGUAAUUAGCUGGACCUCCAGGUAUAGUAGUCGGAUUAGCCGUAAGCGAGGAGACGCUGGAAGUAUCAUAUAUUUUAGAAGAAAGAUUGGAGGACGCAGAUGCCACCACUACUUCUUUUGGUAUACACUUAUAUACCCAACUUUCCAACAUAUCACCUAUUAAAAAAAAAAAUAAAAAAAAUGGAAGAUUAAAAUUGUUGGGCAGAUCGUAUACCAGCAAUGGCAGGAAGUGCUAUAAUCGGUGGAGUGUUACUGGCUUUAAUUGAAGGAGUUGGAAUUUUAUUUACCCGUCUUUCUGCAGAACAAUUUCGAAAUCCUACACCACCAAUUGAAGAUCCGAUAGCACUAGGCGAUACUGCACAAUCUUUAGGUUUGGGUCAAACCCAUCAGCAUCAAUCACAGUAUCAGUGAAUACGCGUUGUAAUAUGUACAGGAUUCUUAUUUAUACAUAUGCGUUGUAACAUAUUUGUGAACCACGUUCAUAACGGUGUAAAUUUAUUUUUAAUAGACCAUAAUAUUUAGCAAUUGUACAAUUUCUGAAAAUUACGUUAUAUUAACAUUUAAAUCUUAUAUUUCAAUAGUCAUUUGUAAUAUUCUGAUGAUUAUGUGAAAUAAAUUUAAAUUAAAUAAUGA